ensembl:lncRNA
AUAUACUCUAUAUAUUCAAAAGUAUGUGGACACCCCUUCAAAUGCGUGGAUUCAGCUAUUUCAUGACAUUGACAUUAAUGCCCAUGAUUUUGGAAUGAGAUGUUCGAUGAGCAGGUGACCACAUACUUUUGGUCGUGUAGUGUACAUUGCAGAUCUUUAUGUGAGAAAUUACCUGAUAUGUGCUGCAUUUUCAGGGCAAGAAGAGACUGUUAACACAAUGGUUUCUGGGAUUGCAGCAGGAACUUCUGGGGUCCUUUUGCUUAUCAGCCUGAUCAGUGUUUUUCGAUGGAGGAGAAACUCGAGGCUCCACGAUGGACUUGAAAGGACAGACAGUCCACAGGGACAGAACUCCCCGGUUGGGACAGUGUGUACUAACCAGGCCACAGCCGGAGAGGAACCAGAGGAACCUGCAGAAGACCAGCCUGAAGAGAUCCACUACGGUGACAGACUUCUCCAAACUACAGACCAAAGAGACCCCAGCUGCAGCCCAGGACAGGGUCCAGGGACAGGAGAGUGAGUACGCUGAAGUCAAUGUGACUGGGAGAGGGGCUCAGGAACCACCUCUUAACAACCUAGAUGGGCUUUAUGCACAAGUCAAUAAAAGAGGUGCAUGUUAAUUUUUUAAAAGUGUUUUUAUGUACAGUAUUGUCAUUGUGUAUCUGUUUCUAUUGGUACUUUUGUUACAUUUAUAAUUGUGUGCUCUUUAAUUAUCUGCAUAUUUGUAGAAUUUGCUGGGAUGAAAAGUGUUUAACUGUUACUAUAGUGGUGAUAUGAUGAUGCAGGCUACUCUUUAUUUUGGACCAUUUAUUUUGAGUGUUGAGUUCACAGAGCAUCUGUUUAAUGGGUUCCAGUAUAGAGGAACUGCUGAGUUCAACUAGCUCACUGAAGGCAGUUUAAGACCAUAUAAAGUCAAUGAUGACUGAGGAGAGAAGACACAGUUAGUUGGAGAGACAGUGGUCUGAUACAAGACAGGAAGUUGGUGCAGGAAGUCUACAUUACGGCAGAAUGGUGUUAACAUCUACUAGUCACUGUUUCUCUUAAUAUUUUGUGCAGUUACCAGAAUAACAAUAUUAUCUAUUUUCAGUUUAUA